rnacentral:rRNA from 1 species
GACGAAGGAUGCAAGCGUUAUCCGGAUUCAUUGGGUUUAAAGGGAGCGUAGGCGGACUUAUAAGUCAGUGGUGAAAUCUCUGGGCUUAACCCAGAAACUGCCAUUGAUACUGUAGGUCUAGAGUACAUUUGCUGUGGGCGGAAUAUGACAUGUAGUGGUGAAAUACUUAGAUAUGUCAUAGAACACCGAUUGCGAAGGCAGCUCACAAAAAUGUAACUGACGCUGAGGCUCGAAAGUGCGGGGAUCAAACAGG